GUUAGGCUGGCUCGGUGGGCUCCUUUUGUAUUUUACUUUCAGCCACGCUUGAAAACAAACAUUUAAAUUGAUUCACAUUAAGAUAAUACCUUUUAAAAUAAAUGUUCAGCUGCACUGACGGGAAAUCAAAGAGAAUCAAUGCUAAUGAGCACUUCUGAUAAACCAAGCUGUGGGAGUUUUGUGUAAUUUGUCAUUGAUCUUUAAUCAUAAUGUGGUGCAUUGUUCUACUGUUGCUAAUUAUAUGUUUUGUAAGAAACCUGUUACCACAGAAAGCCUGAAUGGAAUUCACCCCCAGCUGUAGCCACAAAGACUUGCACCACCGGCUUCUGUUUGCUGUGUGUUGACUGGAACUGCUGUAAACCCUUUAAUAUUGACAUUUGUCAGGCCUCCACUCAUCAUCGUUGUAAUGGUAUAACUGUAAAGUAAGCAAAUUGGGUUUUUGGCCAACAUCGCCAAACAAUUUUUUUUCACAUGUUUUUGUUUCAUGAGUGUUUCUGAGAUUCUUUUUUCUUUUUUUUAACCUCUUUCUUGUUUGCUGGCGUCCAUCCUCACAGGACGUCUCACCACAGCCCAUUUGCAGCACUGAUGACUUCGAGCACAAACUGCAGUGAGAAACGUCAUUAACAUCUGUUUGUGGUCCACACAGAGAGGUUUAAGGCCAUGUGAAAACAAAACAACAACACUGACGAGGCCAACAACUGCAGAGUCUGGGGCAGGGACCGAAUGUGGUUUCCCAUGACUGUGUCAUCCCAGCUUCCCUCCCCUGUCCACCCUCCCUCGGCCUUGUUGUUUUUCUUGCUCUCUUCUUCCCACUCACUCUCCACCAUUAAAUCUCGCCUAGUCUUCCUCUCUACGCUCUUCUCUCUUCUCUUUUACUAUACCCUCCCAGUUCCUGUCAGAUCAUUUUUCUUUCCUGUUGUGCUGACAUCUCACUGUCACCUCCUCUGCCUCUUCUUUCCUUCUUGUCCUCCCUGUUCUCCCCUCCACCAGCUCCAGCACUCAUUUCAUUAAGAUAUUGAGACAUUCAUCACAUUGGAUUAUAUUUAUAACCACACUGAAACUAAACUGAGUCAAUUCUAUAAUUGGGCCUACUGAUUCCAAGGCUUCACAUUUUCUUC
ensembl:lncRNA